GUGAGGAAUUUUCCGCAAUGGGCGAAAGCCUGACGGAGCAAAGCCGCGUGAAGGAUGAAGGCCUAUGGGUUGUAAACUUCUUUUCUCAGAAAAGAAUUAUGACGGUAUCUGAGGAAUAAGCAUCGGCUAACUCUGUGCCAGCAGCCGCGGUAAGACAGAGGAUGCAAGCGUUAUCCGGAAUGAUUGGGCGUAAAGCGUCUGUAGGUUGUUUAAAAAGUAUUCUGUCAAAGAUUAGGGCUUAACCCUAGAUAGGCAGAAUAAACUUUUAAGCUAGAGUUUGGUAGAGGCAGAGGGAAUGCCCGGUGGAGCGGUGAAAUGCGUAGAUAUCGGGAGGAACACCAAAGGCGAAGGCACUCUGCUGGGCCAAUACUAACACUGAGAGACGAAAGCGAGGGGAGCAAAUGGGAUUAGAUACCCGAGUAGUCC
rnacentral:rRNA from 1 species